rnacentral:rRNA from 1 species
UACGUAGGGUGCGAGCGUUAAUCGGAAUUACUGGGCGUAAAGUGCGCGCAGGUGGCCUCGCAAGUCGAGUGUGAAAUCCCCGGGCUUAACUUGGGAAUUGCGCUCGAAACUACGGGGCUCGAGUGUGGCAGAGGGAGGUGGAAUUCCACGUGUAGUGGUGAAAUGCGUAGAUAUCGGGAGGAACACCAGUGGCGAAGGCGACUACCUGGCCUGUUUCUUGACGCUGAGGCGCGAAAGCUAGGGGAGCAAACGGG